ACACAUCCUUUUGCACUACAACUGAGACAAUAAGUUAGCAGCAGCCUCCACGUUGGCUGGUUCACCUUCCAUGGUCUUUGGAACCUGAAUUCGCUUUGAAGAGUUUGAUGCAAUCGCCUUUGACAAUUGUUUAACUUCUUUUUGAACUUCUGUGAAUACUUUGUUCACUGUAUUAACUUUCUCAUCAUUCACAAUAUUGAUCUUUAGAGAAAGGGGGAAAUACAGAGAUUUUGAAUUUUCAAGAAGCUACUAUAAUAGUUUGACCAUGUAAUAACUGUACAAAUUAAAUUAAAUCAUAUUUUAAAUCACUUAG